rnacentral:rRNA from 1 species
UAGGGAAUCUUCCACAAUGGGCGAAAGCCUGUUGGAGCAACGCCGCGUGUGUGAUGAAGGGUUUCGGCUCGUAAACACUGUUGUAAGAGAAGAAUGACAUUGAGAGUAACUGUUCAAUGUGUGACGGUAUCUUACCAGAAAGGAACGGCUAAAUACGUGCCAG